AUUGAAUAUACCCGAUCUCGCCUGAUCUCGGAAGUCAAGCAAUCUCGGGCUUGGUUAGUACUUGGAUGGGUGACCGCUUGGGAAUACCAAGUGUGAUAAGCA
rfam:Ciona savignyi cont_34637, whole genome shotgun sequence.